UCAAGUUAUUAAGGGUGCAGGGCGGAUGCCUUGGCACUAGGAGCCGAUGAAGGACGUGAUAAGCUGCGAUAAGCUUCGGGGAGUUGCACGUAAACUUUGAUCCGAAGAUUUCCGAAUGAGGAAACUCACUUAGAGUAAUGUCUAAGUAUCAUUAAGUGAAUACAUAGCUUAAUGAGGGGAACUCAGGGAACUGAAACAUCUAAGUACCUGAAGGAAGAGAAAGAAAUUCGAUUCCGUAAGUAGCGGCGAGCGAACGCGGAUUAGCCCAAACCAAUAAAGUUUUCUUUAUUGGGGUUGCGGACAUAUCAUAACGAAGAGGUAUCGUAAUUGAAGAGGUUUGGAAAGACCCACCACAGAAGGUAAUAGUCCUGUAUGUUAAACGAGAAGACUUCAGAUAUGAUCCAGAGUACCACGGGACACGUGAAACCCUGUGGGAAGCAGGAGGGACCACCCUCCAAGGCUAAAUACUACCUAGUGACCGAUAGCGUAUAGUACCGUGAGGGAAAGGUGAAAAGAACCCCGGGAGGGGAGUGAAAUAGAACCUGAAACCCUGCACUUACAAGCUGUGGAAGCACAUUUCUUGUGUGACCGCGUACUUUUUGUAGAACGGGCCAACGAGUUACGUUAAGUAGCAAGGUUAAGCACUUAAGGUGCGGAGCCGUAGCGAAAGCGAGUUUUAACUGAGCGUUCAGUUACUUGACGUAGACCCGAAACCGGGCGACCUACCCAUGAGCAGGAUGAAGCGAAAGUAAAAUUUCGUGGAGGUCCGAACCCACGAGCGUUGAAAAGCUCGGGGAUGACUUGUGGGUAGCGGUGAAAUUCCAAUCGAGCCCGGAGAUAGCUGGUUCUCCCCGAAAUAGCUUUAGGGCUAGCCUCAAGGUGAGAGAUACGGAGGUAGAGCACUGAAUGUCCUAGGGGGUAUUGCACCUACCGAAGACUAUCAAACUCCGAAUGCCGUCAUCUUAUACUUGGGAGUCAGACUGUGGGUGAUAAGAUUCAUAGUCGAAAGGGCAACAGCCCAGAUCGUCAGCUAAGGUCCCUAAAUGUAAGUUAAGUGGUAAAGGAUGUGGGAUUGCACAGACAACCAGGAUGUUGGCUUAGAAGCAGCCACUCAUUCAAAGAGUGCGUAAUAGCUCACUGGUCGAGUGAUCCUGCGCCGAAGAUUUCCGGGGCUAAAACUUACUACCGAAGCUACGGCAUCAGUAAUGAUGGGUAGGGGAGCUUCCCAUACGGGUUGAAGCAUGACCGUAAGGACAUGUGGACAGUAUGGGAGUGAGAAUGUUGGCAUGAGUAGCGAGAUGUGGGUGAGAAUCCCACAGGCCGUAAACCCAAGGUUUCCAGGGGAAGGUUCGUCCGCCCUGGGUUAGUCGGGACCUAAGCUGAGGCCGAAAGGCGUAGGUGAUGGACAACAGGUUGAUAUUCCUGUACUACCGAUAACCGUUUGAGAGAAGGGAUGACACAGUAGGAUAAGCUAAGCACACUGUUGGUUAUGUGUGCCCAAGCAUUGAGGCAGUCAAAGUAGGCAAAUCCGCUUUGAUAAUGCUGGGAUGUGAUGGGGAGCGAAAUUUAGUAGCGAAGUAGCUGAUUUCACACUGUCAAGAAAAGUCUCUAUCGAGGUUAAAGGUACCCGUACCGCAAACCGACACAGGUGGGUGAGGAGAGUAUCCUAAGGCCAGCGAGAGAACUGUUGUUAAGGAACUCGGCAAAAUGACCCCGUAACUUAGGGAUAAGGGGUGCCACCAUCAGGUGGCCGCAGAGAAUAGGCCCAAGCGACUGUUUACCAAAAACAUAGGUUUCUGCUAAGUCGCAAGACGAUGUAUAGGAGCUGACGCCUGCCCGGUGCUGGAAGGUUAAGGGGAUCUGUUAGAGCAAUCGAAGCAGUGAACUUAAGCCCCAGUAAACGGCGGCCGUAACUAUAACGGUCCUAAGGUAGCGAAAUUCCUUGUCGGGUAAGUUCCGACCCGCACGAAAGGCGUAACGAUUUGGGCACUGUCUCAACAACAGACUCGGUGAAAUUGUAAUUCCGGUGAAGAUGCCGGAUACCUGCGACAGGACGGAAAGACCCCAUGGAGCUUUACUGUAGCUUGACAUUGGGUCUUGGUACUACAUGUACAGGAUAGGUGGGAGGCUUUGAAACCAGGACGCCAGUUUUGGCGGAGCCAUCCUUGGGAUACCACCCUUGUAGUACUGGGACUCUAACCAUAGGCCAUGAAUCUGGUCUUGGGACACUGUCAGGUGGGCAGUUUGACUGGGGCGGUCGCCUCCCAAAAGGUAACGGAGGCGCUCAAAGGUUCUCUCAGUACGGUCGGAAAUCGUACGUAGAGUGUAAAGGCAAAAGAGAGCUUGAUUGCAAGACAUACAGGUCGAGCAAGGAUGAAAAUCGGACUUAGUGAUCCGGUGGUUCUGCGUGGAAGGGCCAUCGCUCAACGGAUAAAAGCUACCCUGGGGAUAACAGGCUUAUCUCCCCCAAGAGUCCACAUCGACGGGGAGGUUUGGCACCUCGAUGUCGGCUCAUCACAUCCUGGGGCUGUAGUAGGUCCCAAGGGUUGGGCUGUUCGCCCAUUAAAGUGGUACGCGAGCUGGGUUCAGAACGUCGUGAGACAGUUCGGUCCCUAUCCGUCGCAGGCGUAGGAAAUUUGAGAAGACCUGUCCUUAGUACGAGAGGACCGGGAUGGACGUA
rnacentral:rRNA from 1 species